CUCUGUGACUCCUACGGGAGGCAGCAGUGGGGAAUAUUGCACAAUGGGCGCAAGCCUGAUGCAGCCAUGCCGCGUGUGUGAAGAAGGCCUUCGGGUUGUAAAGCACUUUCAGUUGUGAGGAAGGUGGUGUCGUUAAUAGCGGCAUCAUUUGACGUUAGCAACAGAAGAAGCACCGGCUAACUCCGUGCCAGCAGCCGCGGUAAUACGGAGGGUGCGAGCGUUAAUCGGAAUUACUGGGCGUAAAGCGCAUGCAGGCGGCCUGUUAAGUCAGAUGUGAAAGCCCGGGGCUUAACCUCGGAAUUGCAUUUGAAACUGGCAGGCUAGAGUCUUGUAGAGGGGGUAGAAUUUCAGGUGUAGCGGUGAGAUGCGUAGAGAUCUGAAGGAAUACCAGUGGCGAAGGCGGCCCCCUGGACAAAGACUGACGCUCAGAUGCGAAAGCGUGGGGAGCAAACAGGAUUAGAUACCCUGUAG
rnacentral:rRNA from 1 species